rnacentral:rRNA from 1 species
AUGAAGCCUAGUGAAGUAUCUGGGCACUGGUGCUUGGUUGUUCUGAAUUUGAAGUUCCGUCAUUUCGAGUGUCUUGAUUCACUCCGUGAUGAAACCUGGGGUGAUGCAGUUAGAUUCUUAAGGAAUAUGACAGAUAAUAUAAAGAAGCUUUGGAGGGAGUCCAGUGUAGACAGGGCCAAACCGUUCUCACCGACGCAUAUUGAUGGUUUCUCUUGCGAGUUUGUCAAGACCUAUUAUUGCCGGGAGGAUGGUGUAAUUGAAAUGGCCGAUUACAGCCAUGAAGACAUUUUGGACAUUAGGAAGACUUUGAUGUAUACCUGCGCAACUAGCGAUGUGUUUGAUGUUGACUUCCGGGGUGAGUAG